rnacentral:lncRNA from 1 species
UUGGGAAUUUUUGGGGAUAUUUUGGGGAUUUUAUUGGGACAUUUGGGGGGAUUUUAUUUGGAUUAUUUUGGGAUUUUAGUGUGAAUUUUUUGGGCAUAAUUGGGACAUUUUGGGGGAUUUUUUUGCUGAUAUUUUUUUAAAUUUUUGGGGCUAUUUUGGGGGAUUUUUGGGGCUAUUUUUGGGGCUAUUUUGUGGAGUUUUUGGGGCUAGUUUUGGGACGAUUUUUGGGGGAUUUUUUGGGGGAUUUUUUGGGGCUAUUUAUGGAGAUUUUUGGAGAUUUUUGGGGCUAUUUUGGGGGAUUUUGGGGGCUAUUUUUGGAGAUUUUUGGGGCUAUUUUUGGGGCUAUUUUUGGAGAUUUUUGGGGCUAUUUUGGGGCUAUUUUUAGGACUAUUUUGGGGCUAUUUUUGGGGGACUUGGGGCUAUUUUGGGGCUAUUUUUGGGGAUUUUUGGGGCUAUUUUUGGGGCUCUUUUGGGCUAUUUUGGGGGCUAUUUUUGGGGCUAUUUUGGGGGCUUUUUUGGAGAUUUUUGGGGCUAGUUUUGGGGCUAUUUUUGCAGAUUUUUGGGACUAUUUUGGGGGACUUUUGGGGCUAUUUUGGGAGAUUUUUGGGGCUAUUUUUGGAGAUUUUUGGGGCUAUUUUGGGGGACUUUUGGGGCUAUUUUGGGGGAUUUUUGGGGCUAUUUUGGGGGCUAUUUUUGGGGCUAUUUUGGGGCUAUUUUGGGGCUAUUUUGGGCUAUUUUUGGGGCUAUUUUUGGAGAUUUUUGGGGCUAUUUUGGGGCUAUUUUUGGGGCUAUUUUUGGCGAUUUUUGGGGCGAUUUUUGGAGAUUUUUGGGGCUAUUUUGNCGAUUUUUGGAGAUUUUUGGGGCUAUUUUGGGGCUAUUUUUGGGGCUAUUUUUGGCGAUUUUUGGGGCGAUUUUUGGAGAUUUUUGGGGCUAUUUGGGGCUAUUUUUGGGGCUAUUUUUGGAGAUUUUUGGGGCUUUUUUGGGGCUAUUUUUGGCGAUUUUUGGGGCGAUUUUUGGAGAUUUUUGGGGCUAUUUUUGGGGCUAUUUUUGGAGAUUUUUGGGGCUAUUUUUGGAGAUUUUUAGGACUAUUUUGGGCUAUUUUUGGGGCUAUUUUUGGCGAUUUUUGGGGCUAUUUUUAGGACUAUUUUGGGGGAUUUUUGGGACUAUUUUGGGGCUAUUUUGGGUCUAUUUUUGGGACUAUUUUGGGGCUAUUUUUGGGGAUUUUGGGGCUGAUUUGGGUGGUUUUGGGCUCUCUCUCCGCAGGCUCUCUGCGCUUCCCCGCCCGGGAGUUCGGGCGCGAU